rfam:Trichuris trichiura, WGS project CBXK01000000 data, contig: TTRE_1002
AAAACGGCCCUUUUCAGGGCCACUAAAUUGUAAUCUACAAUGUGCAU